rnacentral:snRNA from 1 species
AAAGUGAGCGUGGCUCAGUGGAAAGAGCCGGCCGGAGCCGUAGGUGGUUUUCCCAGGGUGAGGCUCCGCCAUUGCACUUGGGCUGUGCUGACCCCUGCGAUUUCCCCAAAUGCGGGAAACUCGACUGCAUAAUUGGUGGUAGUGGGGGACUGCGUUCGCGCCCUCCCCUG